UACGGAGGGUGCAAGCGUUAAUCGGAAUUACUGGGCGUAAAGCGUGCGCAGGCGGUUUGUUAAGUCUGUUGUGAAAUCCCCGAGCUCAACUUGGGAAUUGCAAUGGAUACUGGCAGGCUGGAGUAUGGUAGAGGAAGGUGGAAUUCCCGGUGUAGCAGUGAAAAUGCGUAGAGAUCGGGAGGAACACCAGUGGCGAAGGCGGCCUUCUGGACCAAUACUGACGCUUCAUGCACGAAAAGCGUGGGGAGCAAACAGG
rnacentral:rRNA from 1 species